rnacentral:lncRNA from 1 species
CUUAGAUUAUGUUUUGUCGUAUUUUACACGACAGCUGUAUAAUUAAGUUGUAUUUGAAUUUUGUAGUGUGAUAUUUGGCGACCCAAGAUGGGUGAUGUAUACCUAUUUUGGGGGCGUCACAUAAUGUAUAUACGGUGUGCUAUUUAAUUGCUGGAAUUACGAACAUAUAGAUAGUUUUAGGUGCAUUUGCAUGGUAGUUUAGUUUUUCGUGUUGUUUUGUGUUUUGUUGCUUGAGGACAAACAACGAUUUAGGUUUGGGGGUAUUUGAUGAUUGGGUAUUAUACCCAUGAAUUGGAUAUACUUGGGCUUAAAUUAUUGUAUUCUCAAGUCAUUUAGAAGCAUUUUUACUGUGUUUAGUUGUUAUUUUGCAGAUUCGGGAGCUGGAGGGGCAAUUGAGGAAGUUUUUGAGUAGAGAAUGGCAG